AAAAGAACACUUUGAACAAAGACCUAAAGGCAAGGGAGUUAAUAACAGGGGAGAUCUGUGGAACUAUGUCCUGGAAAGAUAAAGCAGCAAGUACAGAGACUAGGAAUUGAAGGAAGAUUCUGUGUGCUCUAUGAAGCAAAGAAGCCAGUAAGGCUAGAAAAGAUGCACAUGGAGGAGAGAGGGGAUGAAGUUAGGGAGCUAAUGGAAGAAAAAUCAUGCAAAGCCUUAUAGACUGCUGUGAGGACUUCAUUUUUCUUUUUCUCUGAGUGAAAUGGUUUGCAGAAGAUAAAGGAAAUUCCCAAGCAAAAACAGUAUCAAAAAUAUUAAAGUAACAGUCAUAAGUGUUAAAUAUAUGCAUAAUGCAAAGUGGUCAUCAGUGCAACUGCCAGUUAUUGAAAGACUAAUCUUUGAGAUAGCAGCAAGUUGUUGGAGCUGAAUCUGAGUCAUCAGGAAAAUCAAUGGAAAGGAUCAAAGAAGUUCAAAGACAGAAGAUUCCUGUUGUUGUUAAAUGAAGCAAACAUUAAAUCUCUAAAUGAAGCAAUAAUUAAUUUUAGCUCCUAUUGUUUAGCACAGAUUAAAAUCAACUAAGACUGGACUCAAAAUCAAAGAAUAGCAAGUACAUAUGAAAACAUUAUAGAAGGGUAAUAGCUAAUAACACAGCGAUCGUCAAAUGUAGAUCUUAGGCAUAUAAUGUUUAAUAAGUAUGUAUGAUAUAUUUUUAAAAAUAAACAAUGGACUAAAAAUGAUGAGUAUGCAAUAGGGAUUAUCCCACAUAAUUAGGUAGAUUUAAAAAUUAAUAGCUAGAACAAUUGUAUUAGUCUGUUCUCUUAUUGCUAUAAUGAAAUAACUGAGACUAGGCAAUUUAUAAAGAAAACAGGUUUAAUUCAGUUCCUGGUUCUGCAGGCUGUAUAGGAAGCAUAGUGGCUUCUGCUUGGCUCCUGGGGAGGCCUCAGAAAAUUAACAAUCAUGGCAGAAGGUGAAGCGAU
rnacentral:lncRNA from 1 species